AUUGAAGCGGAAAAAUGGAUCAACGAAUUUGAAAAUUCAUAGAUCUAAGAAGCUGAAUUUCCAGAUCUGAGUGUUUUUCUUUCACUUGAUCUCUUCCACUAUCGAUGAAAACAUGAAGAGAGAAAAGAGAGGUCUGUGUUUUUUUUUUCUCUUCCCUGAAAGAAAACGGAAAAAAUAUUAACGGAGUUGCAGAUUCUAACGGAAUCAUACAACACUUUAACGGUAACAGAUUAAAGCCUCUGUCGGAUUCAGAAGGUUUGUUUUUCUUUUUUUUUUUUUUCUUGGGCAACAAUUUUUUUUGUACUAUAAAUACGUCAAAGACAGAGAGACCCAGACAGAAAAUUAGGGUUUAGAAAAACAAAAGUGAGUCGCCGAUGGAUAAAGGUAGAUGUCGAAAUCUCUCUGUUGUGAAGUCAAACAUGAGUAUGAAUUAACAUUAAUGGAUCUUUUUGAUUCAUAAUACUCAUGUUUGGUUUCACAGUAGAUAGAUAUCGACGUCUAUCUUUCGUUAAUUAUGUUGAUGACGUUGUGGAGCUAUCUAUCGUUAGAGUGGAUAAACUUGUCUUGUUACAUUAGAGAGUUGAUCAUAUGCAUGGAUUCAUUUCAGAUGGCUGUUUGGGUAACUAAUAUUUAAGAUUUUGGUCAAUUUAAGUUACCAAUUUAUAUAUUGGUUACCCAUAUGGCCAUCUCAAAUUUAAUCCGUUAAAAAUUUGCUCGUAGAUUGCUUGGA
rnacentral:precursor_RNA from 1 species